GAGGCGAUGACUGGGGCGGUGUAGGUGGAAGCGGCGGUGGAGGAGGAGGUAGCCAACACUGUUUAUAUAUAUAUAUAUAUUUUUUUUAUUUUAAUUGGGGUAGCCCCCAAAAUAUUGGGACAUAUAAAAAAAGACAACUCUGUUCCGCAGUGUAGCUGUUGACAUUAUAGUUGCGCAGGCACUUUGUUGACUCUAGAGAACCUCGGGCCAAUCACACAUCCCUGUGACAGCGACUUUGCAUUCGGAUGUCAUCCAUAUCAACUUUGGAUGACAGUUUCUGCGCCUACCAUGGUGACCAUGGGUAAUGGGUAAUCAGGGUUCUAUUCCCUACAGGGACCCUGAGAAACAGCUACCACAUGCAAAGAAGGCAGCAGGUGCACAAAUGACCCACUCCCGACGCGGGAAGGUAGUGACGACAAAUAACAAUACAGGACUCUUUAGAGGCCCUGUAAUUAUAAUGAGUCCACUUGAAAUCCUUUAACUCUGAUCAAUUGGAGGGAAGUCUGGUGCAGAGCCACUGACCCGUGCGUGCUGCAGCUGAAACUCCACU
rnacentral:rRNA from 1 species